UGCAUGCUCUGAGGCUCCAAAUAUACUGUAGGCGCUCAACAAAUAUUAAAAAUAUAUAUUUUUUAAGAUUUUCUAGGAAUGGCAGUUGGACAUACUUUUUGAAAAAUAUCACAACAGAAAACUUCAUAAUCAGAAAGCUAAAAAAUUGCAGAAAUGACAGUGCCUAUUGAGAGAAGGCUGGCCUUUGGGUUCAAGAUCUUAUGGGAAUAUCAGGCCGAAGUGAGGUAGGGGAAAAGCCGUUUGGAAUCCCUGGACUCCCCAGGUGAAAAGACCGCACUGAUGGAGGCCGAGGGUAGAUCCAUCAAUCCGGGGGCCCAGGAUCAUGGCCUCUAGCGCUCGCUCCCUCCAUAACUCAUCUAGCUACUUCUCUCUAACCCAGAUUCUUCCAGGCUUUCUUCCUUCCUCUAAAAUUGUUGCAUAGCACAUUUUUUUUCUGUACAUUCCCCCACCCCGUUCCCUUUUUUUUUUGCACCUUCCUAUAAUCACUAGCUCUGACAGAACCAAAUCCUCUACAUUUUUUCCCAUCCCACAGUUCCCAAUUUCUUCCCUCUCCUUCCCGUUUCAAGGUCCCCCAGUCCACAUAGUCAACUUUUCUACCCUGUCUCUCUCCCUAGUACCGUAAUGGUAUGAACCCCACUACUUCUGGCUGCCUUCCUCUCUCCUCCCCACCCGUCGUGUAGCCGCAGGGGGACCUCUGCUAGCAGAGCCAGAGCUGCAGCCGGCGGAGCCUGAAGGGUCGGCGCAAUCAGCAGGUAACGCCGGUCGGGAGAGGGCGCCAACCCUCCCUUCCUCAGCCCUGGCCCCCACGGUGGGGAAGGGACAGCAUCUGGAGGCGCCGCCCCACGGGACGUCUUAGCAGGGGGGCAAAAAGCACUACUCCAGCACACCGUGGAGGAGCUGGCGGUGGGAAAGAGAAAAUGUGGGAUUACUAGUUCUAGUGGCUACUUAAUCAGAUAAAAGGAGCAGAAGAAAACAUUACAGGGCAAAAGUGGAUUUACUCCGACUUAUCCCUCCGGGAAAUCCAGGGGUAUCAAAGUCCCACAUCCCUGGUCCUCAGCCACAGCACAGCAGUUGGGCCGAGUUGGCCGCCUCUAUGCCCUCCCUCAUUGGGAAGAGGGGGGAAAAAGAAAAAGAAAAAGAAACAACUACACAGGCUCUAGAGACAGAGAGGUUAAUUAGAUAACGAGGCUCUGCGGCUCACAUAACACCUGAAGGGGGAUCUGCACAGCCUGAAGUAGGCUACAACACGAUAUCAAAGAGCCUUGGCCGCAUUCAUAGGCAAAUGGAAAAUGGAACCCUUCUCCUAAACUCUAGUAGACGAGGGAGUCUCCCUGCCUGAGGAGUAGUGGAGUGGGGCAAUGGUGGAGGGAAAGGGAUAGAAAAAUAAAGUAGAGGUCCCGUGUCCUAGGACUGGUGCUCCUUAACAUUGAAAAACGAUUCUCAGCAUGGACUCCCUUUCCAACAUUUCAGAAAACUUGUGAGGAAUCCAGAGCCUAUCUACAAUUACAGGUGAAGUACCAUCCUAUCUCUUCCUCCUCUUCACACAUUUCACAAAACUUGGAAUAGGAUAACAAUCAGAUUUGCUUUUGCUCCUACCAACCCAAUUCAACUACUUUACCCGAAGCAAGAUUAUUGGGGUCACACACGAACAAACACACUCCAAAUAAGAUAACAGCGCCGUGAUCCCAGAAAUGUCCCAAGUAUCUCCCCAAACGCGAAAAACAAAAGUUAAAAGGGGGCAAAGAAAACUACACCAAGAAACAAGUUUUUUAAGAAGCAAAUGUAAUUUUUGCAUUACAAUCGAUGCAAAUCGCACAUCGAAGAUAAACUACUAACCAAGGCAAAAUAUUUUGAACCGGGUUCUAAAUAAGAUUACAAUAU